GGGUGAGUAAUAUAUCGGAACGUACCAUUCAGUGGGGGAUAACGUAGCGAAAGUUACGCUAAUACCGCAUAUUCUGUGAGCAGGAAAGCAGGGGAUCGCAAGACCUUGCGCUGAUUGAGCGGCCGAUAUCAGAUUAGCUUGUUGGUGAGGUAAAAGCUCACCAAGGCGACGAUCUGUAGCGGGUCUGAGAGGAUGAUCCGCCACACUGGAACUGAGACACGGUCCAGACUCCUACGGGAGGCAGCAGUGGGGAAUUUUGGACAAUGGGGGCAACCCUGAUCCAGCCAUGCCGCGUGAGUGAAGAAGGCCUUCGGGUUGUAAAGCUCUCUCAGCCGGGAAGAAAACGCAUGGGUUAAUACCCUGUGUGGAUGACGGUACCGGAAUAAGAAGCACCGGCUAACUACGUGCCAGCAGCCGCGGUAAUACGUAGGGUGCGAGCGUUAAUCGGAAUUACUGGGCGUAAAGCGUGCGCAGGCGGUUUUGUAAGACAGGCGUGAAAUCCCCGGGCUUAACCUGGGAACUGCGUUUGUGACUGCAAGGCUAGAGUACGGCAGAGGGGGGUGGAAUUCCACGUGUAGCAGUGAAAUGCGUAGAGAUGUGGAGGAACACCAAUGGCGAAGGCAGCCCCCUGGGUCGAUACUGACGCUCAUGCACGAAAGCGUGGGUAGCAAACAGGAUUAGAUACCCUGGUAGUCCACGCCCUAAACGAUGUCAACUAGGUGUUGGGAGGGUAAAACCUUUUAGUACCGGAGCUAACGCGUGAAGUUGGCCGCCUGGGGAGUACGGCCGCAAGGUUAAAACUCAAAGGAAUUGACGGGGACCCGCACAAGCGGUGGAUGAUGUGGAUUAAUUCGAUGCAACGCGAAAAACCUACCUACCCUUGACAUGCCAAGAACUUUCCAGAGAUGGAUUGGUGCCCGAAAGGGAACUUGGACACAGGUGCUGCAUGGCUGUCGUCAGCUCGUGUCGUGAGAUGUUGGGUUAAGUCCCGCAACGAGCGCAACCCUUGUCGUUAAUUGCCAUCAUUUAGUUGGGCACUUUAACGAGACUGCCGGUGACAAACCGGAGGAAGGUGGGGAUGACGUCAAGUCCUCAUGGCCCUUAUGGGUAGGGCUUCACACGUCAUACAAUGGUCGGUACAAAGGGUCGCCUAGCCGCGAGGUGGAGCCAAUCCCAGAAAGCCGAUCGUAGUCCGGAUCGCAGUCUGCAACUCGACUGCGUGAAGUCGGA
rnacentral:rRNA from 1 species